rnacentral:rRNA from 1 species
CUACGGGGUGCAGCAGUGAGGAAUUUUGCGCAAUGGGGGGAACCCUGACGCAGCAACGCCGCGUGAGUGAUGAAGGCUUUCGGGUCGUAAAGCUCUGUCAAGUGGGAAGAACCUAUGCAGUGUUAAUAUCACUGUAUACUGACGGUACCACUGAAGGAAGCACCGGCUAACUCCGUGCCAGCAGCCGCGGUAAUACGGGGGGUGCAAGCGUUAUUCGGAAUCAUUGGGCGUAAAGGGCACGUAGGCGGCUUGGUAAGUCAGAUGUGAAAGCCCGGGGCUUAACCCCGGAAGUGCAUUUGAUACUGGCAGGCUUGAGUAUGGGAGAGGGAAGUGGAAUUCCUGGUGUAGAGGUGAAAUUCGUAGAUAUCAGGAGGAACACCGGUGGCGAAGGCGACUUCCUGGACCAAUACUGACGCUGAGGUGCGAAGGCGUGGGUAGCAAACAGGAUUAGAUACCCGGGUAGUC